AAACCCUUCCCUAUCGGAAAGGAUAGGAUUUUCUCCCAGAUCUGAUCCUAACUGCCCCAUUGAGGAUACCAAGGCAAGCCCGCUUUGGUACUCCAACAUUACCCAUAUCAUAUAUCCCAUACUAAAGUGGUUGUAAGGUCCUCGUAUUCCUGUGGAAGUAGUCGUAUAAUCUUCACAAAUACCUGACCCUUAGCAUCUACACCAAAACUCCCCAACACGUAUCUCUCAUCUAGAUACUAUUAGUCAUCAUAAAUUAUUUGUA
rnacentral:misc_RNA from 1 species